rnacentral:rRNA from 1 species
GGGAAAGUUGAAAAGAACUUUGAAGAGAGAGUUCAAGAGUGCGUGAAACCGUUUAGAGGUAAACGGGUGGGCCCUCGAAGGUGAUCGUCGGAGGGAUUCAGUCGGACGUGACCGUAAGCGUCGUUCGUCUCUAACGGUGCGGACCUCGGUCGGCCGGGCGGGCGAAGGCUGCGGGCCGUUUGGCGCAUUUCCUUCCGUUCGAACUACGCUGCGACCAGUCUGGUCACUGAAAGUUGUCGUCCUUGAAAACGGGCAACGGAAGGUGGCCGGCGGCGUCUCUCGGGAUGCCGUCGGUGUUUAUAGCCGGUUCGUUUCACGAGUGAGCGUUCAUCAGACUGGGGACGAUUCUAGCCCUGUGCGGGCUACGCCGAGCACUCCGUUUUGUGGAGCGUUGCGGGGUGACUGGAUGCGCCUGCGGUCGGUGGUUUCACCUUUGUGCCCGUCUUGAAACACGGACCAAGGAGUUUAACAUAUUCGCGAGUCAUUGGGUCUUGCACAGGCCCAAAGGCGCAAUGAAAGUGAAGGUCGGCUUUCGCCGUCCGCGUUGGGAUCCGGGGCUUCGGCUUAGGCGCACCAACGGCUCGUCCACGUCGCUACGUCGACCGGGCGAAGCUAGAGCGUACACGUUGAGACCCGAAAGAUGGUGAACUAUGGCUGGGCAGGACGAAGCCAGA